UCCAAAACUCCGGAAGGGUUUCUGAGGCUCAGAGGCAACCAAUCUACUGAAAAUUUAUUCCGAAGAAAAAAAGUACAAAGAGUGUGGAUAGGAGUUUUAAAUCUUCAGAAAGGAGAGCACAACGCAAUAUCCCGAGAAUUUCUUCAUGCCGAACAUGCCGAUCCGAGGCCAGUAUCGAAAUUCAGCGUCAGAAGAGACAAUUGUUUUGUUCGGAGUCUGAAGUUAGACUUUGUUAUAAUAGCUACACUUUGAUGUGAUCGCUAAGGAAAGGCCAACAAAUGAAAACCUCUAAACGUAUCCCAAGGAUAACAGACGCGUUUUAUAGCGCUCAUGAACUAAAAUUGUGAAAAUCCUGUUAUUGAACUUCCAGAAAAAUGGCUGUUGUGAAACAUAACUUUAGCUAUGA